rnacentral:tRNA from 11 species
GUGUGGCCCAGAGGUAGCACGCCAGGUCCAUAAGUCGUAGGUCGCAGGUUCGAGCC